rnacentral:rRNA from 1 species
GACGUAGGGCGCGAGCGUUGUCCGGAUUUAUUGGGCGUAAAGAGCUCGUAGGCGGCUUGUCGCGUCGACCGUGAAAACUUGGGGCUCAACCCCAAGCCUGCGGUCGAUACGGGCAGGCUCGAGUUCGGUAGGGGAGACGUGAAUUCCUGGUGUAGCGGUGGAAUGCGCAGAUAUCAGGAGGAACACCGAUGGCGAAGGCAGGUCUCUGGGCCGCAACUGACGCUGAGGAGCGAAAGCAUGGGGAGCGAACAGG